CCUACGGGGGGCUGCAGUGGGGAAUAUUGCACAAUGGGCGCAAGCCUGAUGCAGCGACGCCGCGUGGGGGAUGACGGCCUUCGGGUUGUAAACUCCUUUCAACCAUGACGAAGCGUAAGUGACGGUAGUGGUAGAAGAAGCACCGGCUAACUACGUGCCAGCAGCCGCGGUAAUACGUAGGGUGCGAGCGUUGUCCGGAAUUACUGGGCGUAAAGAGCUCGUAGGUGGUUUGUCGCGUCGUCUGUGAAAUUCCGGGGCUCAACUCCGGGCGUGCAGGCGAUACGGGCAUAACUUGAGUGCUGUAGGGGAGACUGGAAUUCCUGGUGUAGCGGUGAAAUGCGCAGAUAUCAGGAGGAACACCGAUGGCGAAGGCAGGUCUCUGGGCAGUAACUGACGCUGAGGAGCGAAAGCAUGGGUAGCGAACAGGAUUAG
rnacentral:rRNA from 1 species